UACUCGAGACAAGGUUUUUCACCUACAAGCACACGUGCAUGUAAGCCAACAGCUUCUUUAGCUUGCAAGGAUGUACAGUUCUAAGCCACAUAAAAAUACUUCACUGUAAUUCAUAAUCGUUUUCAGCUAAGGAUCUGGGCAUAAGAACCCCAUUUUCCCAAACUUUUGCUGACUGCACAGCCCUGAGAGCCUCCUACUGUAACAACCUACCAGCAUUUCAUUCACCGGUCAUCAGCACAGAUCAGUCCCACAAGAAAACAUUUGCUUUCAGCUGCAUCUGUAAUCCAGAGCACUCCUGCCGCCCAUGGCUAUACCCGCAAAGGGACCGAACGCGGAGCGGCACAACGCGCCCCAAACUCUGAGGAAGACCGGGAGUCCGCGCUGCCUCCACACGGCCGCUGCCGAGCUCGGAAGGGAAGCCCGCCCACAGCCGGCCGAUCGCUCGAUGCCGUUCCGCCUCCCCUCAGGAUGGUCCUGCCCGCCCAGCAUCCCGGGGCCGACAUUUUGCGCGAUUCCCGCCGCACCACCGCAGCGCCGCGCCGCCAUGAGGAGCCCGCUCCCCGCAGCCCGCCCAGUGCCUUCCCCGCGUUCCCCCAGGGAAGCGCUCGGCGAGAGAACGGGCUUUCGUUCCGUCUCAGCCCCGCACCGGGUUCCCCCGCCGCGGAUGGCAGCGGAUGCUGCGCACCUCCAUCACCCGCAGCACAACUCACCUCACGCUUCGUCUGCGCAAAGGGCGCGCAAUGGCCGCCCCCGAGACUAAAUAGCGCUCGGCUCUCGCGAGAUCAGGAGGGGGCGGGGCUCUGUUGGUCGCGCGGGACGGAGCGCGCCGUGAGGAGAGCGGGGAGAGGCGGGGCGCAGGGGAGGGUUGGCUCGUGCUGUGACCAGAAGCGGGUGCAGUUUCUGGGAUUUCCCUGCUGUUCUGCUUGCUGUGGGACUCCGGAGAGCUGCCCUCGCAGAUCAGUCACUUCUGCAGUGUGUAAUACUGUAAUUUCUAACCUGAAGAAAUCAGAACCAGAGGGCAAUGGCGAAGGUCGAAAAGUUUGCUUUUCAUGUUCCAAGCCUGGAGGAGCUUGCUGGAGUUUUGCAGAAAGGACUUAA
rnacentral:lncRNA from 1 species